GGGUGCGAGCGUUAAUCGGAAUUACUGGGCGUAAAGCGUGCGCAGGCGGUUAUAUAAGACAGUUGCGAAAUCCCCGGGCUUAACCUGGGAAUGGCGCUUGUGACUGCACGACUGGAGUGCGGCAGAGGGGGAUGGAAUUCCGCGUGUAGCAGUGAAAUGCGUAGAUAUGCGGAGGAACACCGAUGGCGAAGGCAGUCCCCUGGGCCUGCACUGACGCUCAUGCACGAAAGCGUGGGGAGCAAACAGGAUUAGAUACCCU
rnacentral:rRNA from 1 species